AGUGGCGAACGGGUGAGUAACACGUGGGCAACCUGCCCAAAAGAGGGGGAUAACACUUGGAAACAGGUGCUAAUACCGCAUAACCAUAGUUACCGCAUGGUAACUAUGUAAAAGGUGGCUAUGCUACCGCUUUUGGAUGGGCCCGCGGCGCAUUAGCUAGUUGGUGGGGUAAAGGCUUACCAAGGCAAUGAUGCGUAGCCAAACUGAGAGGUUGAUCGGCCACAUUGGGACUGAGACACGGCCCAAACCCCUACGGGAGGCAGCAGUAGGGAAUCUUCCACAAUGGGCGAAAGCCUGAUGGAGCAACGCCGCGUGGGUGAAGAAGGUCUUCGGAUCGUAAAACCCUGUUGUUAGAGAAGAAAGUGCGUGAGAGUAACUGUUCACGUUUCGACGGUAUCUAACCAGAAAGCCACGGCUAACUACGUGCCAGCAGCCGCGGUAAUACGUAGGUGGCAAGCGUUAUCCGGAUUUAUUGGGCGUAAAGGGAACACAGGCGGUCUUUUAAGUCUGAUGUGAAAGCCUUCGGCUUAACCGGAGUAGUGCAUUGGAAACUGGGAGACUUGAGUGCAGAAGAGGAGAGUGGAACUCCAUGUGUAGCGGUGAAAUGCGUAGAUAUAUGGAAGAACACCAGUGGCGAAAGCGGCUCUCUGGUCUGUAACUGACGCUGAGGUUCGAAAGCGUGGGUAGCAAACAGGAUUAGAUACCCUGGUAGUCCACGCCGUAAACGAUGAAUGCUAAGUGUUGGAGGGUUUCCGCCCCUCAGUGCUGCAGCUAACGCAAUAAGCAUUCCGCCUGGGGAGUAC
rnacentral:rRNA from 1 species